CUAAGUUCUGCACAAAACCGUGCCCCCCACUGCAUUGUGCAAAGCCGCUCAGAGGCGUCCUUGAAAGAAUCUUGUGAAAAGAGAAUGGAGCUGAGGCUGUGAAACCAGACAGCACCCCCUCAAAACCAGAUUUUUGUGGCCCCAAACAAUUCUGUCUCUUUGUGUGGGAUAGCUAGUGGUUGGUGAGUCAUGUUACCAGGUGUAUUUAUAGACCAUGAAUUUGAAAUAAAUAAAUAAAAGCAGUUAUCGCCUCUUGAGAGUCUCAGAAUGAGCAAAAAGAAUAGCCAACGGAACAUCUGCAAGUCAGAACUCUUGCUAUUAUGAGAGAGCAGGCUGAACUCUACUGACCAGCCUAGGAUAAAAGAGUUCAUUCACAAGACAGGAGAUCGGCCUGAGUCCUCUGUGUAGCCCACAAGAUUAUUCACACAGCAGCUUGCGCCUGAGAAAUGAGGAACACAUGUAUUGUGGAAUCACUAGUGAUGGCUGCCAGGGAACAAGAUCAUUCUUGGAAGUCUGACUGUAAUGUGGAUUGUCAUUCAUGACUCAACCUUCAAGGAUAUACUACAAUAAAAAGAAAAAUAUGAAGAAAGCUACUGGGAAAAUUUCAGCUGAAAAAACAUGAGCUGGACUUGAACUUAGGUUAACUUCACCUGCCCAGCAAACAAGGCCCAUCCUUUCUUAACUUCGACUUUCUAUGGACAAAUUUAUCUGCCUACUAGAUUACAGAGCACUGCAGGAACUUCUGAAACUACAAUUUGAAGUCUCAUCCAUGGAGUGGGCACACUGCCCAGGACCCUUUCUCAACUGGGACUCCAGACAGCGGUUAAUGAGGGACUUCCCAGCAUGCUGUUCAAGUCUAGAUGUUCGUCGGCCCAUUUGGUGAUACUGUGGCUCACCAGGCUCCACGGAAUUCUCCAGGCAAGAAUACUACAGUGAGUGGCCAUUCCUCUCUCCAAGGGAUCCUCCCAAACCAGGAUUGGACCUGGCAUAAUAUGAUAAGGGCAGGUACAGAACAGGGAUAUUGGUAAUGUGGAUGGAUGGCAGAAAGGUUGCUGAGGGGGAAAAGAGUGGAAAAUGAAGGAGAAGAAAAAGUUAGAGAUGACUUCUAGAACACUUACUCAAGAAAAUAAAUGAAAGAGACAGUCAUUUAGUUACCCAAACUGGAGAAAUGGUCCUCUAUGUCUUUUAAGCUCACAGAGUAAACAUUACCAUCUACUUGAUCUGGAUAUAGAGUUAGCCCAAGGUCCUAUAAAACCUAAAAUGUAAAAGGCCUGUUAUAAACAUGGGUAAUAACUCCCACAAGGAAGCAUGAAUAUGUGUUUUUUAUAAUAUAACAUAAUAGUUCUUAAAAUACCAUGGAAUAUAAAAAUUCCUUUAAAAUCCUUAGCAGUUUAUCUUUCCAUCUGCAAUAGUUGACUAUCAUCCCAUCUCUUUGAGAGUAUUACCUAUACAGUCAGUGACCUGGCUCCUCUACCCAACAGAACUCCCCCACAUACUAAGAAAUCUGAAACUGAUAGGCUGACAAUAUUCUGUCAAAUUUCAGGGCAUGUGAACAUAAAAACUCAUGUUCCUAUAAAAGAGCUGCAAUAAAGGCUUUACUGAAUCAUAUCAGGCUUUCGUUACUCACUGGAGUAACCUGUGAGUUGAAAACAAACAGCUUCUCAGCCCUACUUGCUCUGUUCUUGGCUCAUCAGAAGUGAAUGAGGAAAACCAGAGACUAUUUUUAAGAUGAUGGGAAGGUUACCAAGAACAUACAUUCUGAUGAAAUUCUCAAAGCAAGUUCACACUUUAGUUAGCAGUGUGUUUUGCCUUCAUCAAAGUUUUUGAUCACAAAUCAUAAAAAAUCUAUCCUAGAUACUGACACUAAAUAUGGGACAACCUUCUGUACUCCUUUUUCCAUGUCUUAAAGUCAUAUGGAUUAAAAGUGUUGAGAUAGACAUAUAUUUAAUGAAUUUGCCAGUUUCAUUCUGUGGAAGUAUCUUGAAAAGGGUCUUGAACUUCAUUGGAGAAGUUUGAAAAUAAUUAGCUUUUAAUUAUACUGCUCUUAAGAUAUAAGAAAUUUUGGACUUAAAUUCAAGCCUACUUAUAGGUUAAGUUAGAGUAAUAUACAGCAAUUUGGCAGGAGUCAAGAAAUCCUGAAUUACAAAUGGACAAGAAAGCAUGGGUAGGUCAUUGAUUACAAAAAUUCCUAAUUGGCAGAUAUGCAAAUCAAACAUUUCAUUUAUAGAAAUUAAUUUAUGCUUCACUACUUUUUAAAAAUUUUAGUUCCUCAGUAGUUCAGAGUAAUUUUUAUUUCUACAAGUCAAAUAAGUGUUGGUCACAGCAAACUUGAGGGUUUUUUUUUUUUUUAAUCAUCAUUGCACACUCAUCCCAAACUGGGAGUAUCUAGUGUGUCAGUAAUUCUGUAUGUGGACUCUUUCUAAUCAUAUCAUGAUUAUUCCUAU
ensembl:lincRNA